AAUGAACGCUGGCGGCGUGCCUAAUACAUGCAAGUCGAGCGAACACACGAUGAGCGUUUUCCUUUACCGGUAGCGACUGACGGGCGGGUAACACGUACAUAACCUUCUUAUAUUUCUGGGAUAACAUCGUGAAACAGCAGCCACUACCAGCGCAUAUGUCGAACGGCAUGAAUCAAGAGUGAUUGAGGGCUUUGCUGUCUCAUUUAGACGGUUUCGCGCCGCAUUAGCUAGUUGGUAAGGUAACGGCCUACCAAGGCAACGAUGCGUAGCCGACCUGAGAGGGUGAUCGGCCACACUGGAACUGAGACACGGUCCAGACUCCUACGGGAGGCAGCAGUAGGGAAUCUUCCGCAAUGGGCGAAAGCCUGACGGAGCAACGCCGCGUGAGUGAUGAAGGUCUUCGGAUCGUAAAACUCUGUUAUUAGGGAAGAACAAAUGUGUAAGUAACUAUGCACGUCUUGACGGUACCUAAUCAGAAAGCCACGGCUAACUACGUG
rnacentral:rRNA from 1 species